rnacentral:rRNA from 1 species
CGAAUGGGGCAACCCGGCAUGCUGAAGGCAUGUCACCGCGCAAGCGGGGCGAACCCGGCGAACUGAAACAUCUAAGUAGCCGGAGGAAGAGAAAACAAGAGUGAUUCCGGGAGUAGCGGCGAGCGAAACCGGAAGAGUCCAAACCGGCCAUGUUCCGGCAUGGCCGGGGUUGUAGGACCGCGACGUUCGGACAGCGAUGAACUAGAGCCCGUUGGAAAGCGGGGCCAUAGGCGGUGAUAGCCCGGUAUAGGCAAAGAGCUGCGAGAUAGCGGUAUCCUGAGUAGUGCGGGGCACGUGAAACCCUGCAUGAACCCGCCGGG